rnacentral:rRNA from 1 species
GACAGAGGGGGCAAGCGUUGCUCGGAAUUACUGGGCGUAAAGGGCGCGUAGGCGGGAUGGCAAGUCGGUCGUGAAAUCCUUCGGCCCAACCGAAGAACGUCGAUCGAUACUGCUGUUCUAGAGGAUUGCAGAGGAGACUGGAAUUCCUGGUGUAGCGGUGAAAUGCGCAGAUAUCAGGAGGAACACCGAUGGCGAAGGCAGGUCUCUGGGCCACUACUGACGCUGAGAAGCGAAAGCGUGGGGAGCGAACAGG